rnacentral:lncRNA from 1 species
UGCUCUUUUCUUUCUAUUCUCUCUUCUGCUUUUUUGUGGGUGUGUGGAUGUGUGGGUGUGUUCUGUUUUCUUGGACUGGUGCCUAUUUUACCAGCGAGGAUUUCCGGCAAGCUACAGUACUUCCGGUGACUCCCGUUCAGACUCUCGGCAGGACGCAAUAGAACUACACGUUCUGAUAAGCAUCAAAGCAUACUUUCAGGUUUUUCCACCGGGAGUUGGUACCUCCCGCUCUCUUGCUUACUUUGUACACCUUUUUACGUAUUUUAGCUAGCAUUUCGAGUGAGGUCUAUUCUGUU